CCCUUAGAUGUCCUGGGCCGCACGCGCGCUACACUGACGGAGCCAGCGAGCUUACCCCUUUGCCGAAAGGCAUGGGAAAUCUUUUGAAUCUCCGUCGUGCUGGGGAUAGAUCAUUGCAAUUAUUGAUCUUGAACGAGGAAUUCCUAGUAAGCGCAAGUCAUCAACUUGCGUUGAUUACGUCCCUGCCCUUUGUACACACCGCCCGUCGCUCCUACCGAUUGAGUGGUCCGGUGAGGCUUUGGGAUCUGAGCGGAAAGAGCGUUUCGCUGUUUCUGCUCGGAAAACUCAGUCGAACCUUAUCAUUUAGAGGAAGGAGAAGUCGUAACA
rnacentral:rRNA from 1 species